AGUUUGAUCCUGGCUCAGGAUGAACGCUGGCGGCGUGCCUAAUACAUGCAAGUCGAGCGAACAGAUAAGGAGCUUGCUCCUUUGACGUUAGCGGCGGACGGGUGAGUAACACGUGGGUAACCUACCUAUAAGACUGGGAUAACUUCGGGAAACCGGAGCUAAUACCGGAUAACAUUUGGAACCGCAUGGUUCUAAAGUGAAAGAUGGUUUUGCUAUCACUUAUAGAUGGACCCGCGCCGUAUUAGCUAGUUGGUAAGGUAACGGCUUACCAAGGCGACGAUACGUAGCCGACCUGAGAGGGUGAUCGGCCACACUGGAACUGAGACACGGUCCAGACUCCUACGGGAGGCAGCAGUAGGGAAUCUUCCUGCAUAUGGGCGAAAGCCUGACGGAGCAACGCCGCGUGAGUGAUGAAGGGUUUCGGCUCGUAAAUACUCUGUUAUUAGGGAAGAACAAAUGUGUAAGUAACUGUGCACGU
rnacentral:rRNA from 1 species